ACAAAAGAAGAAGAAAUGAACGAAUGCGUAGCUCCAGAAUCUAUAAGCACAAAUGCAGGAAUAUUGGAAACAGAGAUGAUACCUGCGACGACAUUAGGGUCUCGUUCAGCUUCUUGCCUGGACAAGGAGAAAACUCUUGCUUUUCCUUUCUUAUCAUCUCCAGCCUUCUGUGCCUGAUUCUGAGGACAUUCUUUAACGAAAUGUCCUGAUUUCCCACAUUUGAAACAAAC
rnacentral:lncRNA from 1 species